UUGAUUUUUGCCUAAAAAAGUCACAAUGUUGAUUUUUACUUAAAAAGUCAAAGUGUUGAUUUUUUACUUAAAAAGUCCAAGUUUGACUUUGACUAGAAUGGUCAAAUGAACAAUUUGCCAUUUGACCAAAGUUAAUGGAAAAAUUCAACAUUUUGUUCUAUAGUCCAGCUAACUCUUAGUAGGCUAAGUGGAAGCUCAUAGUGAUGAUACCAUGCCCACUAAAAGAAAAUGCAAUGGUGACUAAAUUCACUAAGUGUAAGUGAAAAGUGAGGUGUUGAAAUUGAGUAAACUAAUUAGAUGCAAUAGUGGCAUGUAAUUAUAUUUUUUAAGGAAAACUUUUUCAAAUUAUGAUAAACUUUUGGUUAUUUUCAAAAAUUAAAAUUCCUUUUGAAAGAGUUUCUUUAAAAAAAAAUAACCCAAAAUUUUCAUCAUUUGAAAAUCAUUAUUGACCUUUCAAUUUCAUCUCUCUUGAUUUCAUUAUCUAUCAGAUCCCACAACCCAAUUCUAGGUCCAGAGGAUAAUAGGUAACUAUUAGUGGUGGUCUGUUCGAGUUCAAGCGAAUAUUCAAGCAUCAAUCGAAGCUUCUAAUGUAAGUUUCCUCAAAACUCUAAUUUGAAUUAAUUUAGAGUUUAUUUUUAUUCAUGUUAAUCUUAGAAAUUAGGGUAAUUUUCUAGAUCCAAUUUUCUCUAUGCAUGUGUCAAUAUUAUCGGUUUUGUCUGAACUCAAUUUUUUUUCGUUGGAAAUUUGAAGAUUGCUCUUAUAUGACGUUCAAGAUUAUGUUUUGAAGUCUUGGCUAUUGGUGGUCUGAAGUUUCAAGAAGAAAUAUUUGUUAAGGUUCAAGAUUUCUCAAGAUUAUCCUAUGUUGUGUAUGAAAAUAAAAAUUAAUCAUAUUGUGUCAAGAGGGGGAGGUUUGUUACAUUUUUUACAAAUAUGUAUUUAGUUUCUUUUUAUUUGAAGAAAGAGAAUAUAAAAAAGAACUUUCAUAUAUUCUCCUUCUAAAAGGAUAUUUUUAAAAAGUGAGAUUCCUUGAUUCGUGAAAAAGAUACUAUUUUGCUGGUUAUAUAUUUCUUUAAACAGUUGUUGGUAAAGCUCUCUUUAAGCAACCAAUAUCAUUUUCAUUGUCCACAUCUAUCUUUCUCCUUAUUAUAAACAAAGAGUUUCUUUUCUGGUAAGUUCAUUACCUUUUUAGACCAAUGUGAUGGAUGCGAUAAAGAGAUUUAAAGAAGAUUAAGUAAGACACAUGACCAUGGUCAAUUACUUCAUGGAGAGCCUGUUUAUAUCUUCAUUAGAUUCGAAUAAAAUUUAGGGGCUAAUUAUUUUUAGUUUGCAUAAAAUAGCUAAAAAGAAUACUAGUUCUAGGGAGAAUGACUUUUAAAUUGUUGAAAGUAUUAUACUCGUUUGAAUCUUAAUAAAAUCUACUAUCUAAGCUAAAAGCUUUUGAGUUUUACCGAGCUGGGCUAACAAAUUUUAUGUGUUAUUUUUCUUAUUGUUUCCUUAGCACUAUUCCACUAAUUUUUAACUAAAGUAACACUAAGGGAAAAAUCCUACUAUUUUACUUUUUCAUAUAUAGAGAGCAUCAACAUGAGGGGACUCAACCCUUAUCUGAACUUAUACUAAAUCCACUAGUCACUUGAAUCAUUCUAAUAUGAGAAGAAAGAGAUGAGUAUUGCUAGAUCGUAAAAUUAAACCUCUUAACUAACUUAUCCAGGGUCAUAAUAUGCCAAAUUUAUUAUGUUUCAUAGGCCACAUCUUCGCUAAACAAGAAAUUCACCAUUAAGGCACAUCGAAUCCAGGUGAGAUAUUAUUUUGGUGCCCAUUUGAUGGAACCAUAGUAACAACACCUAAGUUACAAGUUAAAGUCGCACGCACUACAUAAUUGAUCUCCAUUGAAGGUAUUUAUACAUAUAUUUUUCUGUAACUUUAAAUUUCAGUCUAGAUCCAUAAUUGAACUGGAAGGGGACAAGAAACUAAACAAUUUCAUAACUUAAACCACUCGAAGUUGGGAAAUGAAGGUGGCACAAAGGUUCAAGAACAAAAACUGAGGGCCUUGAAUCCUUUGCAGAUCAAGUAGAUACCUUUCUUCUUGUACUUUAUAUAGCUGUGUUAUAACAAAGAGACAAAAAUGCAAAGGUUAUCAUCAUAAUUGUUUCAAUAUCUUACCUUAAAAGCCAACCUUUCCUUCUAGGCUUCGCUACCUUCUUCAAGUCGAUCUAUCUAUAUAUAGUAUACAUGGAUGGCUAAACUUAACUAAGUUUAUCUAAAUUCAAAUUUUACACAUAAAUAUAUAUAUAUAUAUAUAUAUAUAAGAUGGUUUCUAUUAGUUAUUUAUGUUGACAAUAUUUAAUUUUAAUAAAAUGAUUUGUUUAUCAAUGUAACAAAUACCUAGCUAGCUAGACAUGCAACAGAAAAACCAAACUG
rnacentral:lncRNA from 1 species